GUGGAUGAGGCAUGCAAGUCGAACGGAGUAGUGAGCUUGCUCACUAUUCAGUGGCGGAAGGGUUAGUAAUACAUGGGUAACUUGCCUCUAACUUGGGAAUAACGGCUGGAAACGGCCGCUAAUACCGAAUGUGGUGUAAUAGGGCAUCCUAAUUACAUUAAAGUGGGGGAUCGUAAGACCUCGCGGUUGGAGAAAGGCCCAUGGGAUAUCAGCUAGUUGGUGAGGUAAAGGCUCACCAAGGCUAAGACGUCUAGGCGGAUUGAGAGAUUG
rnacentral:rRNA from 1 species